rnacentral:rRNA from 1 species
UACGUAGGCAGCGAGCGUUGUUCGGAAUUACUGGGCGUAAAGAGUGUGUAGGCGGUGCUCCCAGUCUGUUGUGAAAUCUCCCGGCUUAACUGGGAGGGUGCAGCGGAAACUAGAGUGCUAGAGGGUGGGAGAGGUAAGCGGAAUUCCUGGUGUAGCGGUGAAAUGCGUAGAUAUCAGGAGGAACACCAGUGGCGAAGGCGAGUCUCUGGACAUUUCCUGACGCUGAGGCACGAAAGCCAGGGGAGCAAACGGG